CUCAUUUUAACUUAUUGCACCAGUUCAGCAGUGCGGCUGAAAAGAACAGACUACAAAUAUUUCAUUGAAAUUUUUAGGUUAUUAGAAAACAUAAGCAAACUUAUUAUUUAUUAGUAAUAUAUCUAUAUUAAUUAGUUUUUAGUAUCAUGCCAUCGUCAGUAGGACACACAAUUUUCACAAAAUUAUACAGGAGCAGAUUGAACAGCUUGCUACAGCGAAUUGUCGGAGCUAGAUUAAUAUCAAUUGAAGAAAAUGCGGAAUCUACCAAAAACAUUAAUCUGGCAUUGCAGCCGGGAAAAAUUCACGCUGCAGUACUAAAGGAAUUCUCCAAUCCUUUUGUUGUGGAACAUUUAGAGCCACCGAAAAGAGUACAGCAUAAUGAGGUUCUUAUUGAUGUUCAUUAUUGUUCUUUGAAUGCUUCUGAUGCACUUCUUAGCAAAAAUUCAUACAUAUUCGAACCUAAAUUACCAACAAUUCUGGGUUAUGAGGUUCUUGGAAAGUUGGUUGAGGUCGGUGCAGAAGCGGAAAGAAAAGGCUACAGAGUUGGCGACAAAGUCAUUGCUCUUAACAAAGAUCGUUAUGGAGGCUUGGCUGAGAGAUGCCUGGCUGAAGUUGGGGAUAUAUGGAAAGUACCUUCUGUAUUAAAAUCUAUUGAUGUUGUGAGUAUUUUAGACAACUAUAUCACUGCUCUGGUUGCGUUAGAAAGGAAAGUUAAUCUUGAUGAGAAUGAUAUGAUCUUAAUAAAUGUUGGCAUGAGUGGUAUUGGCCUAGCAGCGGUGGAUCUAGCUACAAAUGUCUUUAGAGCUAAGGUUAUCGGAGUCUGCGCUACAGAAGACGGAGCAGAUAUAGUCAGGGAAAAAGGAGCGUUUACAUCUCUUAAAUAUAAAAAUAAGAAGUUAUUGAAGCAAAUAGAAGAGAUCGCAGCUGAAAAGGACAUUAAAGCUAUCUUCGACGAUAUCGGCGGGGAAUAUUUCAAGAAAGUAUUGGGCUGUUUCACUGAUGUCUACAAUGAUGCAACGUUAAAAGACUUGCUACGCGAUGACAAUUUUGCGGUGGUGGUACAUCACCUUUCUCGUGAAGGGCGAGUGAUCGUAGCUGGCACAGCGAUGACCAUGACGGACGCCCAUUCUGAAGUGCAGAAAAGUUCCUUCAGCGUCAGCGGCUUCAAUCUUACGGAAUAUAGAAAGAAAAAGCCUGAUAUAUACCGUCAAGCCGGAGAUGAAGUUCUACAAUUUCUCGAGGAAGGACUUAUUACGUCGUCUUGUUCGCUUAUUGUUGGCCUACACAAGAUCAAUGACGCCUUGCAGUUUGUUUCUGAAAGUAAAUCUCCGGGGAAAGUUGUGAUCGAUAUUAGAAAUAAAGAGGCUGAUGUACUAAAAAUGAAGAAUUAAACAGAUCUGAGCUGCGAUUUUCAGGCGUAAUAUCUUUCAAAGGUAACGAAAGCACACUAUUGAGAGAAAUAUGCAGUGAUAUUUUAUAUUUAAAAAAAAAUUUCACUGACAAUCGUUCAGUUGUCAUUAUACAACUAGCGAUUAUGGAUCUGUUUGGUGAUUAUACAGUUAUAAAGUAUUGUGCUGAAAAUGUCAACAUACUAUUGUAAUCAAGAAAUACAACAUUUUAUGUAUAGUCGUACUAAUGGAAAUACUUUAACUACGUAACAUCUUUACGCGGAAAAAAUUUUCUAAUCGUAAAGUUCUCUCUCAUACAUUGUAUAAUA